rnacentral:rRNA from 1 species
AACGAACGCUGGCGGCAGGCCUAACACAUGCAAGUCGAACGCCGUAGCAAUACGGAGUGGCAGACGGGUGAGUAACGCGUGGGAACCUUCCCAAUGGUACGGAAUAGCUCAGGGAAACUUGUGGUAAUACCGUAUACGCCCGAAAGGGGAAAGAUUUAUCGCCAUUGGAUGGGCCCGCGUAGGAUUAGCUAGUUGGUGAGGUAAUGGCUCACCAAGGCGCAGAUCCUUAGCUGGUCUGAGAGGACGACCAGCCACACUGGGACUGAGACACGGCCCAGACUCCUACGGGAGGCAGCAGUGGGGAAUAUUGGACAAUGGGGGAAACCCUGAUCUAGCCAUGCCGCGUGAGCGAUGAAGGCCUUAGGGUUGUAAAGCUCUUUCAGUGGGGAAGAUAAUGACGGUACCCACAGAAGAAGCCCCGGCUAACUCCGUGCCAGCCGCCGCCGUAAAAC